GGGUGGAGAGGUGCUGUGAGUGUAGCUGAGGGAGAGACUGCAUAUCCCUUGGUGAGAGGACAUAGUUUUUUGCUGCUCCGGCCGUCGCCCGCAUUAGAGCUGAGCGGUAUACAUUGCGGCGGCCGGAGGGGGCUUAGUGUGUGUAGCCAGAACAGGGCUUCCUUACUGUAAAGGUGGUGACAGCAGCAUUGAGACUCAGAACUGUUCAUAGAACCCGGCAUUAGCGCUAGUCACCUCACCCAGCAGUAUUGGAAGGGCGCACCUAUGACAGGGAGACAGAGAGGGUUCCUCCUAUUACCGGCACAGACUCUGACAGCCACAACAAAGAAGCCAGGACCAGCAGCAGAGGCUCCAUUCUGUGUGGCUGUAAGUGUAAGGGAGGAGUCGGGGGAGCAUCCUGCAGCAGCAUCACUAGAUCGUAGAAGUGUGUGUCUGGUCCGUCUGGAAGUUGAUCUGAAGAUCCAGGAAGAAAGAGACAGCCUUGGACAGAUCACCUGCUGGAUAUUUACGUGAAAGAAAACCAGAGGCACUGUGGAAUGAAAAUCCCCCUGGUAAUUGAGUUAAUUGUCCCUAUAGAAAUGUAAGCCCUUCUAUAUGCCGGUGAGAUGUGGAGCCUGAUUCUGAGUUGCAUGCUGUGGCGCCCAUGUGUGCAUCAUCUGUCAUUGUACAGCCGCACGUCUGCAGGAGCAGGGGUACUGAAGCUGGGCACACACCUGUACGAUGUUGACUACGCAUUCCCGCGGAUCGUUAGCCCCAUCUUCUGGCCGGCCCUACUGCAGAAGAUAUCACCAGCGAACCAGUGCUGUUUAAAUAAUUCUUUGCGGUUGUGCAACACCAACCACAUAAGAAUCAGGUCCAAAAUGAUGUGAAUGCGUUGCAUUUCCUCUGAAGAACUGUAGGCCAAGAUCCUCUGUGAUCUUGUUGUGUCACAUGAAGAACGCAUCAUGAUGCAUCUUGAUCCAGUUGUAACACAGACUAGUCACCUGAAUAAUUAAAUAUUGCACCAUUGAUGUUUAAGUUGUAGCUGCUAAAAAAAGUACCAGCAUUAUAUUCUCCACGUUGCAUUGAAACAAUUACACGUUUGUUUGAUAUUUGAAGUGUAGCUCUUCUUUUUUCUGUGUCACAUCACGAGCUGAGAUCGGCCUGGCUUUCGUAUAGAUUGGCUCAUACUUUGGGUCUAAUGCUUUCAUGUUUUUCUGAUAUAAUAUAUACAUGUAGAAAAUAAGUGGCUGUGCUCAUCUGCCAACUCUUAAUGCCAAGCACAGGGUGCAUAUGAUUUUAAUGUAAAAAAAUUUUUGUUCCUUUUUAUUGGGUAUUAGUGUAGAUUAAUAUUUUUUUAAAUUUUUGUUAGAGUAGAAUAGUAUUUACUUCUCAAGAUGGUCAGAUUCUUUUAAAGGGGUUUUAAUAGUAAUGUAGGGGUAUUAUAUUGUUUAUAUAUACGGCUUACUACUUGCCUUUUUAACAUUAUGCAUGUAGGUAUAUUUUAGUUUUCUAAUUCUAGUUUUCAUAUCUCACUACAGCAUAACUACAGAAUUCCUAUUUUUUUUUUACUAUUUUGAAAUGUUGCAUUAUGUUUUACAUAACGGCAUGUGCGCAAAACACCUUCUUUUUAUGUCAUUUUCAGCAGCUGUUGUGUGUGGGCAAGAACACUUGUUUUUAGAUUUUACAGGUAGCUUUAACUUAGUGUUGGUGCACUUGUUGGUGGCUCCAUGCUUGGUAUUUGCUCUGUGCCUCUACUGCUGUAAAAUUAGCUUUCAUGCUAAUAGUUAGAAUGAUGUGCUGCCAUUUGCUUCAUGCUCUGACAGUGUUUCUUACUGUAUCUUGUCCCCACUUUCACACUGUAACAUCUGGCAGGGAGGGGUUUGAGGGACACCACAAAACAUUAUUGAAAGAGUUUUAUUGAUUUUGUUUUAUUUUGUUCUGCAAUCAAGCAUUUGGAAAACAAUCUCUAGAAAUCCUGUGUUUGCCUCUGAAAGUAGCCUGACAGUUUGUAGAACUCCUGACCAGGGCUGCCAAGAGUUCUUUUGGGCUCUGUCACUAGUGGGGUAUGUCCAAGCAUAGGGUGCAGGGCCAUGCACAUGAUAAAUUCUGAGACACCAUUUACAUGCUGAAGGAAUGUGCUGCCACAUCAUCUGGUAGACGUAACAGCCCCUCCUUGGCAGCACAUCUUGGUGAUCCUGUGCCUGCUCAGGGUUGCAUUGGCCCACAGUGAAAAUCCCCAGUAGUACCUGGUUUGUUUGUAUGAAACUACACCAAGAUUAGGAUCCUGCCAACCAAAGUUUAUGGUCCUGACACACCCCUGUUUAUAUAGGACCCCUGUUCUUUGCAUGUCCUCUCUAAUUGUUGGCCAAGUCCCUCUGUGGUGGCUGGCCACACACCGUCUGGUGAGUGGCCACACCCCUUAAGCUUGGCCCCUACCACUUUAUUGCCUAGUGGGCCCUUCAUGAAAUUGUUAUACCUUACUUAAUGGGUUUUUAUUUCUGUAUUUUUUUUUUUUUACUUAUUAUUUGCUUUAACUUCAACAAGCAUUGUGUGUAUUUUACCAAAACCCAGAGUCAAGUGUGCAAAAGUUGUGACCAUUGCUGAACUAAGGUUUACAUAUUAAUGACUGUGAUAUACGCAUUCCUGUAUAUGUACCAUGAAAGGUAUGUUUUGUAUUAAAGAAAAAGUAAUAGAAACUAAAGAUUUAGCAGAGCACAGUCCUCCUACAAAGCAGAUUGUGAGUGUGUGCAGCAUAUAAAUAAUUACACUCUAUAGGCUGUACAAAGGCAUUGUGAUUGAUUUAUAUUUUGUGAGACUGCUUCAGUUGUUUUUUCUGUUUUAUGGAGAUUGUUAACUGAAGACCAAAGACGUUCUAAUGAAUUGCAGCAUGUUACAAAGAUGCAGUUCCAAAUUUCCCUAGUCAGGGACCAAGUGUUUUAUAGAUUCCCUAAAUAAAAAUAUUACGGCCACAUACCCACACUUAGAUAGAUAGAUAGAUAGAUAGAUAGAUAGAUAGAUAGAUAGAUAGAUAGAUAGAUAGAUAGAUAGAUAUUAAUACAAAUAUAUUAAGUUUACUUAUAUAUAACACACAAAUAUUCCAAAUCUUGCGCUUUAAACUUGGGAGCAAAACAGACAUAGUAAGAGGGCCCUGCUCGCAAGCUUACUGUAAUAGGGAAAAAGGCUUUAAUACACAAAGAUAUGUGCUACAAAUUGCAUAUUGGUCCAGUCAAGUUGCAGAGGUUCUUGGUGGACUCUAUGAUCCAGUCACACAGCAAUGCUGGCCUAGGGUAAGUUAUGAUUUAUAAAAAAACAUGUAUUCCCAUGGAUGGGUGGGUAGCGGUCUCAGCUCAUUGUUUUGCCCAGGGCCUUCAAUGCUGUUAACAUGGCUCUGCCUACAGUUAUCACUCGCACACCCCUAGUUAUGGCCCUGAAUGUACAUCAGAUAUACUUACACCCAACUAAGUCAUAAGCACAAUAGAAGAUUUUACUAAUUUAUUUUUAUAGUUAAAAACUAAUUUGAUAUUGGGUUUGAUUUAAAUAAAAAAAAUCUAUAAUAGUUAAUGGUGGGAAUUCAAAUGUUAUCGCCCCUGAUCCAAUAUCUAAAGUGAUGGGAGGUCGCAGGGGGCAAUAUUAAUUUGAUGCCCCCAUUGCGCAGAUCACACCCAUUAGUGUCGGGUUAAGCCAUGUAAAGCGGCUAAACCCGACUAAACUAAUAGGCGCGAUCAGGAAAAGUUUCGUUUGGGCGUCCAAAUGGAUCACUUAAUACAGAUUUCAGCUCGUCACCCCCGGCGGGUGCAAGCUAAAAUGUUGACGCCGGCAGCCGAUCAGACCCGAACAGAGCUAUAGUAUAUUUGAAUAUCUCCACUGGGUGCCAUCUAGUGGCUGCCGGUGUCAAUAUGAUUUGAAUCUCGCCCAAUGUGUUCCUUCUCAUGAUCUAAUAGAUGUUGCUAAGAAAAAAAAAUUUUGUAAAAUAAGCAUUACCCGCUAUAUAAUACACAAUGUGACAACAAGCAGGAAGGAGUUGGGUGGAUUCAAGUGACAGUUCAGAGAGCCAUAUUCAGCCCCAGGGCUGCUUGUUAUCCUUACCCACAAGUGAUAUGCUGACAGACGGGUCUGCCGUACUAGCAAUAAUACAAAUGCCUCUGUACUAGACUCAGCCUAUCUUAAUCUGCCCUUUCCCUCCCUUGUUCUGCCUUUUCUGUAAUAAGGAGGUGCAGGUGGCAGAAUCAAACAAAUCAGUAUAUACUUGUAAGUGUAUGACUUCUUUUGUGCCUAUGGGGGUAAUUCAGAGUUGAU